rnacentral:rRNA from 1 species
AUUGAACGCUGGCGGCAGGCCUAACACAUGCAAGUCGAGCGGAUGAGAGAAGCUUGCUUUUCGAUUCAGCGGCGGACGGGUGAGUAAUGCCUAGGAAUCUGCCUGUUAGUGGGGGAUAACUCGGGGAAACUCGGGCUAAUACCGCAUACGUCCUACGGGAGAAAGUGGGGGAUCUUCGGACCUCACGCUAACAGAUGAGCCUAGGUCGGAUUAGCUAGUAGGUGAGGUAAUGGCUCACCAAGGCGACGAUCCGUAACUGGUCUGACAGGGUGAUCAGGCACACUGGAACUGAGACACGGUCCAGACUCCUACGGGAGGCAGCAGUGGGGAAUAUUGGACAAUGGGCGAAAGCCUGAUCCAGCCAUGCUGCGUGUGUGAAGAAGGUCUUCGGAUUGUAAAGCACUUUAAGUUGGGAGGAAGGGUAUUCAUCUAAUACGUGGGUACUUUGACGUUACCAACAGAAUAAGCACCGGCUAACUCUGUGCCAGCAGCCGCCGCCGUA